rnacentral:rRNA from 1 species
GUAGGUGAAAGACUUACAUCUCUUCGGAGCAGUUUUACGAGGUGCUGCAUGGUUGUCGUCAGCUCGUGCCGUGAGGUGUCGGGUUAAGUCCCAUAACGAGCGCAACCCUACCUUUAGUUGCCAUCAGGUAAUGCUGGGGACUCUAAAGGAACUGCCUACGCAAGUAGUGAGGAAGCGGGGAUGACGUCAAAUCAGCACGGCCCUUACGUCCAGGGCUACACACGUGCUACAAUGGCCGAUACAGAGGGCAGCUACCUGGUGACAGGAUGCAAAUCUCCAAAGUCGGUCUCAGUUCGGAUCGGAGUCUGCAACCCGACUCCGUGAAGUUGGAUUCGCUAGUAAUCGCGCAUCAGCCAUGGCGCGGUGAAUACGUUCCCGGGCCUU